rnacentral:rRNA from 1 species
UAAACGACUCUCGGCAACGGAUAUCUCGGCUCACGCAUCGAUGAAGAACGUAGCAAAAUGCGAUACUUGGUGUGAAUUGCAGAAUCCCGUGAACCAUCGGGUUUUUGAACGCAAGUUGCGCCCGAAGCCAUUCGGCCGAGGGCACGUCUGCCUGGGCGUCACGC